AGUGAACGCUGGCGGUAGGCCUAACACAUGCAAGUCGAACGGCAGCACAGUAAGAGCUUGCUCUUACGGGUGGCGAGUGGCGGACGGGUGAGGAAUACAUCGGAAUCUACUUUUUCGUGGGGGAUAACGUAGGGAAACUUACGCUAAUACCGCAUACGACCUACGGGUGAAAGCAGGGGAUCUUCGGACCUUGCGCGAUUGAAUGAGCCGAUGUGGGAUUAGCUAGUUGGCGGGGUAAAGGCCCACCAAGGCGACGAUCCGUAGCUGGUCUGAGAGGAUGAUCAGCCACACUGGAACUGAGACACGGUCCAGACUCCUACGGGAGGCAGCAGUGGGGAAUAUUGGACAAUGGGCGCAAGCCUGAUCCAGCCAUACCGCGUGGGUGAAGAAGGCCUUCGGGUUGUAAAGACCUUUUGUUGGGAAAGAAAAGCAGCAGGUUAAUACCCCGCUGUUCUGACGGUACCCAAAGAAUAAGCACCGGCUAACUUCGUG
rnacentral:rRNA from 1 species